rnacentral:rRNA from 1 species
UACAGAGACCUCAAGCGUUAUCCGGAUUUAUUGGGCGUAAAGCGUGUGUAGGCGGUCUGAUUAGUCAGAUGUCAAAGACCAGGGCUCAACCCUGGGAAGGCAUUUGAAACGGUCAGACUAGAGAAUGUGAGAGAUUGCUGGAAUUCAUGGUGUAGUAGUGAAAUGCGUUGAUAUCAUGAGGAACACUCAAGGCGAAGGCAAGCAAUUGGCACAUUUCUGACGCUCAGACACGAAAGCGUGGGGAGCGAAUGGG